GAUGAACGCUAGCUACAGGCUUAACACAUGCAAGUCGAGGGGAAACGAUAUCGGAAGCUUGCUUCCGAUAGGCGUCGACCGGCGCACGGGUGAGUAACGCGUAUCCAACCCGCCCACCACUUGGGGAUAACCUUGCGAAAGUAAGACUAAUACCCAAUGACGUCUCUAGAAGACAUCUGAAAGGGAUUAAAGAUUUAUCGGUGAUGGAUGGGGAUGCGUCUGAUUAGCUUGUUGGCGGGGUAACGGCCCACCAAGGCGACGAUCAGUAGGGGUUCUGAGAGGAAGGUCCCCCCACAUUGGAACUGAGACACGGUCCAAACUCCUACGGGAGGCAGCAGUGAGGAAUAUUGGUCAAUGGGCGAGAGCCUGAACCAGCCAAGUAGCGUGCAGGACGACGGCCCCUAUGGGUUGUAAACUGCUUUUAUAAGGGAAUAAAGUGGGUCACGUGUGACUUUUUGCAUGUACCUUAUGAAUAAGGACCGGCUAAUUCCGUG
rnacentral:rRNA from 1 species